AUGUCCGUGUCUCAGCACUUUGUUCUCAGCGCCUUCAGGUUUCACAGAGAGGCCGAUCCCGGCGGACCGAGGCGCCCUGGGGCACCGCCUCUUCCUGCCGCCUGGUCCGUGACGUCAACAGGAGAGAGGGCAUACAGAGCACAGAAUUGCUCCCUGCUAACCCUUGGGAUGUUCACUGAAGUUCCCAGUCUCCUCUUCUGGACUGAGGUGAUCAUCCAUCCAUGAGACAGAGGCCAGGCUUCGUAACAGGAGAAAGUAGCCAGCACAUGUCCAUGUGAAGACACAACAUAAUUGAUACCAUCUAAUUUCAAUAAGAAGUCCUCACAAUUUUAUGAGUGACUUUUUAUUUUUAUAACCAGAUUUUCCCAAUGACUUCUCCAGCAAAAUCUGUGGCAAGGACAGAGGCCUUGCAGGAGUACAGAAGUUCUGGUGGAGGGUUUUGAACCAGUGAGUCACUCAGUAUAUCUGGGCAAUCUGCAGGAGCAGAGGCCCGAUUCCAUAUGUUGAUUUCCAGUUACAAAAGCACCAAGCUGAAUAUAAAAGCACCGGUAACACAGAAAUGCUUGGUAGAACUCAGCAGGAUCAGAGGAUUCAAGAGACAGUGCAUUUUGUUCUUGCCUUUCAUUUCCCAACAAAUUUGUCUUCUAUACAAAUUACCAAAGUUAGGGAAGACUCCCUAUGAACCUGGUAUUAAAAUGAAGUAACUCUGAAGAUGUUUAUGAAGAGUAAUUACAUUUUAAACUCUCAAAGUAUGCCAAGUAUUCCACAGGCACAUCACUGCAAAGCACUCUUCUAAAAUCCAUCUCCACCUGUAUUUGUAUAUUGUGUUCCUUAAGACUACUGAGAUAUAUGUACUUGAUAUAAACACUGCCUUUGAUUAGCUAUAAUUUUAACCUGUUUUCAUAGAAGUCUUUGUUUAGGUUAGUAGAACACCUCAGAAAUUAUGUCUUUAAAAUUACCUUUCAGCUCUUUGUUUCUUAAAGUUUUCAGUCUUUCUGGUAAUGCCAUGUUAUAUUUCCAUUAGAGCUGAUACAGCAAACCUUUUAAAACAUCCUAACACCCCAACCCACAGCAAACCUUAAGACAAAUCAGUGGCCACACUCCAGGGAAGAGUUAUCAUUUUCUACUUACUGUAUUCUCACUGCACCUUUGAUACCUUCAUCACCAGCACUAACAUGGCCAAACAACAUGGUUUCUAAAACUGUGUCAUCUAGAUCUGCCUUUGAUUUUUCCCUUUCCCCCCACCCCUGCUUUUAUUUUUUUUAACACUUGCAAUGCUGGAAGACUUUGUAUAAGUAUCAUAUUCAUGGAAAUGUAAUAAAAAUAGCAAAAAGUUUAUUUUUGUGUAAUUU
rnacentral:lncRNA from 1 species